rnacentral:rRNA from 1 species
UACGAAGGGGGCUAGCGUUGCUCGGAAUCACUGGGCGUAAAGCGCACGUAGGCGGAUCUUUAAGUCGGAGGUGAAAUCCUGGAGCUCAACUCCAGAACUGCCUUCGAUACUGUAGAGCUUGAGUUCGGGAGAGGUGAGUGGAACUGCGAGUGUAGAGGUGAAAUUCGUAGAUAUUCGCAAGAACACCAGUGGCGAAGGCGGCUCACUGGCCCGAUACUGACGCUGAGGUGCGAAAGCGUGGGGAGCAAACAGG